AUGAACGCUGGCGGCGUGCUUAACACAUGCAAGUCAUGGGGGGCCCAGCAAUGGGCAACCGGCGAACGGGUGCGUAACACGUGAGCAACCUACCCAGGUGUGGGGGAUAGCCGUCCCAACGGACGGGUAAUACCGCAUACGCUUUUCUCGAGGCAUUUCGGGAUAAGGAAACCAUUCGGGGCACCAUGAGGGGCUCGCGGACCUAUCAGCUAGUUGGCGAGGGGUAAUGGCUCACCAAGGCUACGACGGGUAGCUGGUCUGAGAGGAUGGCCAGCCACAUUGGGACUGAGAAAACGGCCCAGACUCCUACGGGAGGCAGCAGUGGGGAAUCUUGCGCAAUGGCCUAACGGCUGACGCAGCGACGCCGCGUGAGGGAUGAAGCUCCUCGGAGUGUAAAACCUCUUUUGCCCGGAACGAACUAUCAGCAUUCGCUGAUUUGACGGUACCCGGGGUGAAUAAGCACCGGCUAACUCCGUGCCAGCAGCCGCGGUAAUACGGGGGGUGCGAGCGUUGUCCGGAAUCACUGGGCGUAAAAGGGCGCGUAGGUGGCGUGAUAAGGGUGUGGUGAAAGGCCCGGGGCUCAACCCCGGGUCGGCCAUGCCGACUGUCAGGCUGGAGUGCUGUAGGGGCAGGCGGAAUUCCGGGUGUAGCGGUGGAAUGCGUAGAGAUCCGGAGGAAGACCGGUGGCGAAGGCGGCCUGCUGGGCAGUUACUGACACUGAUGCGCGACAGCGUGGGGAGCAAACAGGAUUAGAUACCCUGGUAGUCACGCCGUAACGAUGGUACUAGGUGCCUGGGGAGCGACCCCUUGGGUGCCUGGCGCUAACGCAGGAAGUACCACCGCCCUGGGGAGUACGGCCGCAAGGCUGAAACUCAAAGGAAUGGACGGGGGCCCGCACAAGCGGUGGAGCAUGUGGUUUAAUUCGACGCAACGCGAAGAACCUUACCUAGGCUUGACAUGCAUGGGAAACUCCUGAGAAACCAGGAGCCUCCUUCGGGAUCCAUGCACAGGUGCUGCAUGGCUGUCGUCAGCUCGUGUCGUGAGAUGUUGGGUUAAGUCCCGCAACGAGCGCAACCCUGUUCUUAGUUGCCAGCGCGUAAUGGCGGGGACUCUAGGAAGACUGCCGGUGCCAAACCGGAGGAAGGUGGGGGACGACGUCAAGUCAUCAUGGUCCUUACGUCUAGGGCUACACACGUGCUACAAUGGGUCGGACAGUGGGGGGCCGAGGCAGCAAUGCCCAGGCAAUCCCAAAACCGAUCCUCAGUUCGGAUUGUCGUCUGCAACUCGACGGCAUGAAGCUGGAAUCGCUAGUAAUCGUGGAUCAGCAUCGCCACGGUGAAUACGUUCCCGGGCCUUGUACACACCGCCCGUCACGCCAUGGAAGCUGCGAGCGCCCGAAGUCGGUGUCGGAACCCUCUGGGACCAAGCCGCCGAAGGCGAGCGUAGUGACUGGGGCG
rnacentral:rRNA from 1 species